rnacentral:rRNA from 1 species
AUUGAACGCUGGCGGCAGGCCUAACACAUGCAAGUCGAACGAGUGGCGGAAGGGGGAGUAAUGUCAGGGAAACUGCCCGAUGGAGGGGGAUAACUACUGGAAACGGUAGCUAAUACCGCAUACCAUCGGAUGUGCCCAGAUGGGAUGAGCUCGAAGGUGGGGUAACGGCACACCUAGGCGACGAUCCCUAGCUGGUCUCAGAGGAUGACCAUCCACACUGGAACGGAGCCACGGUCCAGACUCCUACGGGAGGCAGCAGUGGGGAAUAUUGCAAAAUGGGCGCAAGCCUGAUGCAGCCAUGCCGCGUGUAUGAAGAAGGCCUUCGGGUUGUAAAGUACGUUCAGCGAGGAGGCGUUACUCGCAGAAGAAGCACCGGCUAACUCCGUGCCAGCAGCCGCGGUAAUAC